rnacentral:rRNA from 1 species
UCAGACGUGAUCACCCGCUGAACUUAAGCAUAUCAGUAAGCGGAGGAAAAGAAACU